rnacentral:rRNA from 1 species
UACGUAGGGGCCAAGCGUUGUCCGGAUUUAUUGGGCGUAAAGAGCUCGUAGGCGGUCUGUCGCGUCUGCUGUGAAAACUCGGGGCUUAACCCCGGGCCUGCAGUGGGUACGGGCAGACUAGAGGUGCGGUAGGGGAGACUGGAAUUCCUGGUGUAGCGGUGAAAUGCGCAGAUAUCGAGGAGGAACACCGGUGGCGAAGGCGGUCUGCUGGGCCGUUGCUGACGCUGGAGGCGCGACAGCCGUGGGGAGCAAACAGG